rnacentral:lncRNA from 1 species
UACAGAGGAUGAAGAGUAGGUAGCCCUGUAAGCCUGACUAGUUACUGGCGACAUGAGGACCGCUGUGCAGUGGACCAAGUGCUGGCUUCUCCUCAUCACAAUAAGUAAUAUCUACAGUACAGGAGACGUCGCUCACAAUGUUAUAGGUACAACGGUGGCCUUUGAGGGUCUAGGACCUGGAAACAACUCGAUAGAAAUCGAAGAAAACAACUACAUCAACUUAACAGUUCAUAUAAACAACCAAAACGUCUUCAGCAUCAAGAUAUCACAUCAAUGGAAUAAUUUAUCUGUGGACCUUUGUAAGUUUAUUCUAAAGGCAGUGUGUGAAGUAUCGGACUCAUCAAACGGUACACCACAUUGCCAGUGUAUAAACAACAACACAGUUCAAUUCUUGAAGAAGGCCAUUAGUUCUGACAGCGGAUUAUACACCUGGAAAUGGCGGGAUGGCAGGACACCAGAUAAACAAAGACACAUCUUUAUUAAAGUUACGAAAGCUCCAGACAUUCCACAUACAGGUAACAACUCUGAUGAUGCAGCGUCGGGUGCAACAGCCGCUACAACUGUGUGUGUCCUCUUGGCCGUCGUUGUUACGGCAACGGCUGGUGCGGUGUUGUGGAUGAGGAAUAAAGCUAAAUGUAGUAUAGUUUAAAUAUACAGAGGAUGAAGACCUGGUAGCCCUGUAAGCCUGACCUGACUAUUUACUAGCGACAUGGGGACCGAUGUACAGUGGGCCAAGUGCUGGCUUCUCCUCAUCACGAUAAGGAAUAUCAACAGUACAGGAGACAUAGCCCAGAAUGUCAUGGGUACACAGGUAGAGUUUGGCGGUAUAGGACCUGGAGACAGAUCCACAGAAAUCGAAGAAAACAACUAUAUCAACUUAACAGUUCACAUAAACGACCAAAACGUCUUCAUCAUCAAGAUAUCGCAUCAACAGAAUAAUUUAUCUGUGGACAUUUGUAAGUUUAUUCUAAAGAUAGCCUGUAAGGAUGCGGAGUCAUCAAUUGCUUCAUCAUAUUGUUACUGUUUAAGCAACCACACAGUUCAGUUCUUAAAGAAGGCCAGUAGUUCUGACAGCGGAUUAUACACCUGGAGAUGGCGUGACGGCAAGACACUAGACAAGCAAAGAGACAUCUUUAUUAAUGUGAAAAAAGCCAUUCCACAUACAGGUAACCGAUCCGAUGAUACAGCGUCGGCAGCAACAACCUCUACAAUCGUGUGUGUCAUUUUAAUCGUCGUCGCUACGGUAACGGCGGGUGUGGUGUUCUGGAUAAGGGAUAAUGAUAAGUGUAGUAAAGGUAAGAUAACUGUAGUUUUUUACUUAAAAAUUGCCUGGGUUUGUGACAAAAGAGGCUGAACAUAUGACAAUAGCGUGCUGUGCUUUUUUCUUCCGGACUGGGCAAGGAAGGAAUAUAUUAAGUACAUGACAAGGGGAGAUUGAAUAAAAAUGUAAACUGAAAAGUAUAAUAUCUGUUAGAGCCGAAAGAUGAAUGUACCAUACAAUUCAAUUCCUAAUACCUGUAAAAUGGCAUUAAAACCCCCUUUGUCCGCCUUUAUUCACUUUCGCGAUACUUGUAGUAAAAAUCCGGUGAAAAUCUCACAAGCACAGAUGUAGAUAAUGCAAUAAAAAGUAAACUAGAAUUGUGUCUCAUAAUUUUAAACCAAUCUGUGUUACUGGCCAGCAUAUAAGGUUUAUUUUGGAUAAACUUUAAGAAAAGGACCGCAAUUUUUCAACACUCGUAGAUCGUUGAUUUUUAGUUGAUUAGUCAACGCGAUUUUCGCUGGUGGAAGUUGGACUUUAAUUUGAAGAAAUACACCUCUACCUCGUCCUAUUUUGAGUCGAAGAGGGACUGCACUGGAUUUUGCCACUGGAAUAAAAGCAACAGUAAGACUGGUAUGGCAUAUCCGUGGUAUCACAAGGUAAGCAAUUAACUCACAUGUACUGAGAACUAAUCAUCAACAUAAAAAAGCACUACAUUUACUUCUUAGUACACUGACAACCUUAGAUAUAUUAACACUCUUCGUAUUAUCAUCUCACUCCAUCUUUUUCGCUCUUUAUUUUUGAUAGCUUUUAGCUGAACUAUUGUAUUCAUUUUUCGAGCUGCUACUUUCUCCAAAAGUAUUUAGCCCGCUGCUAAGCGAGGAAAUAAAAUCCGCUCUAUAAGUGUUUCGUCGCCGUCGUCGUCCUCAUCACCAGUAUCAUCAUCUUCAGAUCAUUCUGGACCCAAGUGGUCGUUAUAUAAUUUUCCUCAUACAAUUGACAUGCAAAUGGACUAGGAAUCUUAUAUUUUUUCAUAUUGCAUACAUUAUCCAUAAGAUUUCACAGUUUCCAUUUCCGUCACAACUUGAACUUCUACUCUAGUAAUAUUUUCCUAUUAAGCAACAAGAACCUUAAUGUUGCAUGUUCUCCAGUAAAUGUCCUCAAUAAGAAUCCACCAACAAAAGAACCCCCCCCCAAAAAAAAAAAAGAAAAAAACGAAAAAUGAUAUCUUGAGUUGUGUUUGCUUUAAGGGUCCAAGUAAAAGGUCAGUACGCACGCAAGUACAUAUCAAAUCUGAUUCAAAAGCUUUAAAAAUGUUUGCUUGGUUACAACAUGUUGCGUGUCUAACAUGUACCUGUGUUACAGUAGAGGCCAUUGACUUCCCUUUCGUGUAUGUCCCAGAGCAACCGUGGAUAACUUCUUAAAAGAGGAUAGAGACUUGGUAGCCUGUAAGCCUGACCUAAUUACUGACAACAUGGGGACCGCUGUGCAGUUGGCCAAGUCCUGGCUUCUUCUCACCAUAAUAAGCAAUAUCUACAGUACAGGAGACGAAGCUCACAAUCUCAUAGGUACACAGGUUGAGUUUGACGGUCUAGGACCUGGGGACAACUCGACAGAAAUCGAAGAAAACGACUACAUCAACUUUACAGUUCACAUAAACCACCAAACCGUCUUCAACAUCAAGAUAUCGCAUCAACAUAAUAAUAGAACUGUGGACCUUUGUAAGUUUGUUCUAAAUACAGCCUGUGAAGCGUCGGACUCAUCAAAUGCUACAUCAUAUUGCCAGUGUUUAAACAACAACACAGUUCAGUUCUUGAAGAAGGCCAGUAGUUCUGACAGCGGAUUAUACACCUGGACAUGGCGGGAUGGGAAGACGACAAACAAUCAAAGAGACAUCUUUGUUAAUGUUAAAGAAGGUAGGUCAUUAACUAAGUAAGCAGGCAUAGUUUAUUUGCACAGGUUUUGUAGAAUAUUAUUUUGUAGUGCAUAUUACAUGGGACAUAUGCAUUUCAAAAAGUGUUAAACUAUUCUCAAAACCCCGGUGU